rnacentral:rRNA from 1 species
UGGAGGAAAGUAGGGGAUCGCAAGACCUUACGCUUUUGGAGCGGCCGAUGCCUGAUUAGCUAGUUGGUGGGGUAAAGGCUUACCAAGGCAACGAUCAGUAGUUGGUCCGAGAGGACGGCCAGCCACACUGGGACUGAGACACGGCCCAGACUCCUACGGGAGGCAGCAGUGGGGAAUUUUGGACAAUGGGCGCAAGCCUGAUCCAGCAAUGCCGCGUGAGUGAAGAAGGCCUUCGGGUUGUAAAGCUCUUUCAGUCGAGAAGAAAAGAUUGUGACGAAUAAUCACAAUUCAUGACGGUAUCGACAGAAGAAGCACCGGCUAACUACGUGCCAGCAGCCGCAGUAAUACGUAGGGUGCGAGCGUUAAUCGGAAUUACUGGGCGUAAAGCGUGCGCAGGUGGUUUUGUAAGUCAGAUGUGA